GAUAAAUGUACUUUUUUUUAUAUCAUAUUUUGAACCCGCUUGAUGAUUUGAGAAAAUAUCACCAAACUACAAAACAGGAUAGGAAUUGGCAAAUGGUAAAUGUACUAUUAGCAAUACAGCGGUACAUAAUGAUCUCAAUUGCACGAACAAAUUUAUAACACAUCAUUUAAAUUAAUAAGUACUUACCAAACUUGAGGGAAGAGUUUUCAUGGGGCAGCUGAUACUUCUCCAUAGGUGUAAUGGUAUUGGUCACAUAUAUCUUGGAAAUCUAUAUUAAAAGCACGAAGAUUAAGCACAUGAUUUAAAAAACAAAAUCAACUAAAAGUAUCUAUUUCUUCUUUUCAUGCUAU
rnacentral:lncRNA from 1 species